rnacentral:lncRNA from 1 species
GGCUGAUUUAAUUGAUGGCUAAGCCAAGACCAGACCAAGAUCCCACACAGUUCUCUGAUGCUGAGUGAAGUUAUAGGGUCUUCAGAGAUGCUGGUGAUUGGACUGAGGAAUAUAAGAGGCUUGUUUAGGGAAGGGAAACAUCAGAUUCAAGAGGCCGAGGUGCUUUGUGCUCCAGCAUGUUUGUAACAACUGUGUGACUAAGGGAUUUGAGGAAGUGGAAGAAGAGAUUUAUGGCCUUCCAACUCCCUGCCUUGGUGCUGACCCAGGAACAGGUGUGUAGUGACAGGAAUGGAUAAAACUAGAGAUGAGGCUGAACAGGUGGUGGGGCCACUUGGUGAGGCAGUCAGCUGACCAACUGAGUCAGUAAAAGGAGUCCUGACUCGCUGAGGAGUGAGGGGAGCAGAGCAGCCAGCCCACCCAUCCUGGUUGAUGGCAGGGAAGAGUCCAGGGCCAGGGACCUGGUAAGCAACCCUUAGGGAUA